UCCCUGAUGGUCCAAUGGCUAAGACUCUGCACUCCUAAUGUGGGGACCCGUGUUUGAUCCCUGGUUAGGGAA
rnacentral:tRNA from 1 species